rnacentral:rRNA from 1 species
GACGAACGCUGGCGGCGUGCUUAACACAUGCAAGUCGAACGGAAAGGCCCUGCUUUUGUGGGGUGCUCGAGUGGCGAACGGGUGAGUAACACGUGAGUAACCUGCCCUUGACUUUGGGAUAACUUCAGGAAACUGGGGCUAAUACCGGAUAGGAUCUCCUGCUGCAUGGUGGGGGUUGGAAAGUUUCGGCGGUUGGGGAUGGACUCGCGGCUUAUCAGCUUGUUGGUGGGGUAGUGGCUUACCAAGGCUUUGACGGGUAGCCGGCCUGAGAGGGUGACCGGCCACAUUGGGACUGAGAUAGGGCGCAGACUCCUACGGGAGGCAGCAGUGGGGAAUAUUGCACAAUGAGCGGAAGCCUGAGGCAGCAACGCCGCGUGCGGGAUGACGGCCUUCGGGUUGUAAACCGCUUUCGCCUGAGACGAAGCGUGAGUGACGGUAAUGGAUAAAGAAGCACCGGCUAACUACGUG